ACCCUGGGUGUGAAACAGCUAAUUGUUGG
rnacentral:piRNA from 1 species